CCUACGGGAGGCAGCAGUGAGGAAUAUUGGUCAAUGGGCGCGAGCCUGAACCAGCCAAGUCGCGUGAGGGAAGACGGCCCUAUGGAUUGUAAACCUCUUUUGUCGGGGAGCAAAAGACGCCACGCGUGCCGUUCCGAGAGUACCCGAAGAAAAAGCAUCGGCUAACUCCGUGCCAGCAGCCGCGGUAAUACGGAGGAUGCGAGCGUUAUCCGGAUUUAUUGGGUUUAAAGGGUGCGCAGGCGGAAGAUUAAGUCAGCGGUAAAAUUGAGGGGCUCAACCUCUUCGAGCCGUUGAAACUGGUUGUCUUGAGUGGGCGAGAAGUACGCGGAAUGCGUGGUGUAGCGGUGAAAUGCAUAGAUAUCACGCAGAACUCCGAUUGCGAAGGCAGCAUACCGGCGCUCAACUGACGCUGAUGCACGAAAGUGUGGGUAUCGAACAGGAUUAGAUACCCGGGUAGUC
rnacentral:rRNA from 1 species